rnacentral:misc_RNA from 1 species
AUAUUUUGAAUUAAGUAUAUUCAUAAUAUGUUAUCAGACGAAUGUUGUUAAAGAUAUAGGUUGAUGUUUGGUCGUUCCCAUAGAAGAGAACGACUGACAUUGCACACAAGGUGGAUAUGGAUUUAAAAAGUGCCAUAAAACACUUAUUAUGAAUGAUCCUUCCGCAGGUUCACCUACGGAAA